AAAAUGGCGAACAGCCAUUAAAAUACUGAUUCAAAAUACACAUCUUUCACUGGGCACACAAAUGGGUGCGCGCAGCAAUAUUCAGCCUAAUGGCGAAUGUGUGCGAACGUUCACCGGGGGAAGAGGUAUGGGACGACAGCUGGCAUGGCAUCCAGACGGUAAUCUGGUGGCUUUAGCAUUAAGUUGUAACCGCGUUAAGAUAUUUGACAUAGCUGAAGGCGAGCUAAUACAGUGCAUUCGUCGCCGGAGAAUGAUGUUGCAUUUCACCCAAGUGGAAAUUUCUUGGUGACUGGGGGCGAUGACGAUACAAUAAGAUUGCUUGAUUUAUUAGAAGGCCCAUCAAUUUAUACACGUUGCUCGUUUGGAAAUCUAAUUUGCAUACAUUUGAUGCCAAUAGCUCUCGCAACAAACAAGCCAGUUCUCAAAGAGUCCAAAUUGAUUUUAGUCAUGCAACAGCUCCACAUAACUCCGCCAUAGACACAUCAGUUGCUGGAGUACCAAAAAGCUGUGAUGACAGUAUUUUCAUUGAUCCACGACAAUCGGUGGCAUAUGGAAUGCGUGAUAGAAAUUGUCUGGUGCUUGAUAGCCAAUUUACAUUAAGAAGCUCAUAGAGGACAGAGCUGUUGGUGAGGAAGGUGUCGAGUUACUGCAGUACUGCAACUGGAAAAAU